GGAAUAUAAGAACAUGUCUUUUAACUUUUAACUAAAAAAACUAAGAACCGGUUCUUAAAUAAGAAUUUUAAGAAACAUGUCUUAGCUUUUUUAGUUAAAAAUUAAGAGACAGAUUUUUAUAUUCC
rfam:Brassica napus, WGS project CCCW01000000 data, contig: 19908